UAUCCCUCCCCUAACAUAUCUUUCCUUCACUCCCGCUCAGGACAAAAGGUAUCUAGUAACUUUUCUUGUUGUUGUUGUUGUUAUUGUAGUUGUUGUUCUUUUAUACCAAAGUACUUUCCCAUAGAUUUCCAUAAACAGCGGGUGGUCAAAAGCCGGAGACUUCCGGGGUGGCGCCAUCGGUAAUGGAGGAUUCCCUCUGACUUGGAGGGAACCGGCUCUGCGGAAAUCGGGUCUGCACCGCUACGGCGAAGCAGGGACCCUUCAAAAAUCACAGACGGGUGAAGCCUUGAUUGCAGGGGAGGAGGGGGGAAAGGUCUGAACUGUAUUUCCCUGCAAAAAAGAGAGGAAAAGAAGCUAAAAUCCACCGCUUAAAACCCUGGAACGGGUUCCCAGUGAAUAGUAAGAAAGCCGUAUUGUGAAAUGUGCUGUUGCUGAAAGUACUUUUUGACAGUUAACUCUGCAUCUGAGAUACAUGUAAGAUACAAUAUUUCUGACUGGCUUCUCCUGGUUUUAAAGUAACAGGAAACAACUGAGAUUGAAACUGUUGUCCUUUUUGUGAAUUGGGGGGGCGAAAGGAAAAAGUUAAUUACUUUAAGACAUUUUUUACUGCUACUGUGUCCCCCUAGAGGAAGUUUGAAAUUGUUCCUUUGGUGGACGUGCCCAAGGAUUAAGGCUUUCUGGGAGAUGAUUUAUAAUGAAAUGAAAGGGGUAUUUAAAUAUACCUUUCCGAAGAAACCAGAGGCCUUUCUCCUGGGCAUGGUCGGCCAAAUGGUGCCAAAGAAGGACAGAACUUUCUUUAUGUAUGCCACAACAGCAGCAAUA